rnacentral:lncRNA from 1 species
AUAUUUUAUUAUUCUUUCUAAUAAGCCUUUUUAUUAGUAUAAUUUAUAAUAUAUUUAUAUAUGUAAAUACAUGAAUACUUUUUUUCCAGAGAGCCAGUUAUAAAAUGUUCACCAGCACACCACUGUCUACAUUGUAGCAAGAUCCCCAGAAACCCUUCCA